GACGAACGCUGGCGGCGUGCCUAAUACAUGCAAGUAGAACGCUGAAGGAGGAGCUUGCUUCUCCGGAUGAGUUGCGAACGGGUGAGUAACGCGUAGGUAACCUGCCUGGUAGCGGGGGAUAACUAUUGGAAACGAUAGCUAAUACCGCAUAAGAGUAGAUGUUGCAUGACAUUUGCUUAAAAGGUGCAAUUGCAUCACUACCAGAUGGACCUGCGUUGUAUUAGCUAGUUGGUGGGGUAACGGCUCACCAAGGCGACGAUACAUAGCCGACCUGAGAGGGUGAUCGGCCACACUGGGACUGAGACACGGCCCAGACUCCUACGGGAGGCAGCAGUAGGGAAUCUUCGGCAAUGGACGGAAGUCUGACCGAGCAACGCCGCGUGAGUGAAGAAGGUUUUCGGAUCGUAAAGCUCUGUUGUAAGAGAGGAACGAGUGUGAGAGUGGAAAGUUCACACUGUGACGGUAUCUUACCAGAAAGGGACGGCUAACUACGUGCCGGCAGCCGCGGUAAUACGUAGGUCCCGAGCGUUGUCCGGAUUUAUUGGGCGUAAAGCGAGCGCAGGCGGUUAGAUAAGUCUGAAGUUAAAGGCUGUGGCUUAACCAUAGUACGCUUUGGAAACUGUUUAACUUGAGUGCAAGAGGGGAGAGUGGAAUUCCAUGUGUAGCGGUGAAAUGCGUAGAUAUAUGGAGGAACACCGGUGGCGAAAGCGGCUCUCUGGCUUGUAACUGACGCUGAGGCUCGAAAGCGUGGGGAGCAAACAGG
rnacentral:rRNA from 1 species